UACGUAGGUGGCAAGCGUUGUCCGGAUUUACUGGGCGUAAAGAGCGCGCAGGCGGUCGAAUAAGUCGAAUGUGAAAGCCCCCGGCUCAACUGGGGAGGGUCAUUCGAUACUGUUCGACUUGAAGGCAGGAGAGGGCAGCAGAAUUCCCGGUGUAGUGGUGAAAUGCGUAGAUAUUGGGAAGAACACCGGUGGCGAAGGCGGCCAUCUGGACCGGCACUGACGCUGAGGCGCGAAAGCGUGGGGAGCAAACAGG
rnacentral:rRNA from 1 species